UUAUAGUGCAGGUAGUGUUCACUAAUCUACUGCAUUAUAAGCACUUAAAGUACUGCUAGCUGUAGAACUACAUAUUCAGCAUGUUUUGCAAUUUGUUGUUAAAUUGAACACUGUUCUCUGGUUAGUUUUGCAGGUUUGCAUCCAGCUGUAUGAUACUCUGCUGUGCAAAUCCAUGCAAAACUGACUGUGGCAGUGACAAGUCAGUCAGUAAAUGUGGAAAACUUGUACCCCUUUCUACACAGGUUGGGAUCAGUUGCAAUGCUGUGCGUUUCUGUGGUAUUGCACUUGUCCCGGCCUGUUGAGGUUGGUGGGGAUAGAGGCUGAAACACUUCAUAGUUUUGAGGAAUUUCUACCUCCUCAUUGAUGUAGGAAACCUAAAAACCUUAAGUUUCUCCUUGGAAAAAAUGUAAUGUAAUUUUUGGUGUAACUAGAUGUUCAUUUUCUGUAUCUGAAUUGUUUGUAUGUACCAGAUUUGUUGCUGAUAAUAAUUAUUUACUGAAGUCCUUGAGUGUGUGUGGAGGGAGGGAGUUUCAUUUGUUCUGGUUUGUUUCUUUUAAGAAAAAGUUACAAGUCUUCUAUUAAACUGAGCUGAAAUGCGUAUUUACAGUUUCUUCUCCAUUACUUUGUUGGGAUGAAAUGGGUCCUAAGAAACAAGCUCAGAGACUUUGUUUCUUAAAUUCAAAUUACAUGAAUUAAUAGCUUUCUUCUGUACUGUUUUUUUUUAAUUUUUACUGUUAUCAAAACUAGAUGUUCUAAUUAGUAGUGUAAGAGCACACUUUUAAUUAUGGUUCCUUAUCCAGAUUUGGUUAAGUUCAGGAGUAGUAAAGAUGGUUACAGACAGGGUCUUAUUAUGCCUCAGCUAUGGCAUCUUUAAUGCUAGUUAGGUGUCUGCAUCUUGUGAGGCAUCUGCAUUUGUGGUGAGCGUAACACUGGUCGUCUUGCAAGCUUUGGAGUAAUUCACAUAGCAUAUGAUGCAUAGCAAUAAAAAUAGAAUAUCUCUGGAGCUAUGUGAAGAGCUCACCCAUACAACUGUUUCAAAAGGCUGGGGACUGAUUCAAUAUCUUGCUUCAUAAGGAAGUAUAAAUGUAAAAUCUGCAAGUGGAGCAUUUGACACUGUCUUUGGAUGAGCCAUGUGCUAGUGAACUACACUUGUAGCUCAAACAUCAAUGGAUUUAUUUUCUGAAGUGGGCUUUCUAAGCAAUAGUGCUGUAAAUUCCAACAGGUAUUUUAUUUGUUGGUUACAGCUGACAAACUCUAUAGUCCUCUAAAACACCUGUGUGGUAGAAUUAAGAAUAUUUGGGUCAAUGCUGCACUUGCUGUUCUUAAAUUAAAGCAGAAUGUUAAGCUAAAUGGGUCGUUGUUCCCAAGGCUGUUUUUCAGAGCCUGUCAAUGUAUGUCAUGAUGCUGUCUCAGAAUUUCUCUUAUUCCCAUGUCUAGCAAAAUGUUGUCAUUUCUUUUAAAUUUCUUUCUGAUGUAUCCAAGCAGCCUCAGAUUUACCUUUGUGCCCUUUUUCUUCUGCUACUCCCAAAGUCCUCAGACAGGUUCCUUAUCCAAAAUACCCUUUCCCAAACCUUAAAAUUUUCUUCAGUUCUGCAGAUUUAGAGGAAGCUUCUUCUUGGUGAGGUCAGGUAAAGAGGGCAAGUUUCUCAUGUCGUGAUUUCUCUUCAGUAAGUUCCUGUAGUAAUCUGCUGGUGGUAGCAGGUUUAGCUCCUUUUUGAAUGAAAAAGCUGGCUACUUUCUAGCACAAGUUGAAAUACAACAAGUGUUUUAGUAUGUGAUUACGUUUAUAUUGUCAUGUGAGCAGUAUGUUUUGAAGUAUACAUCUUAGAUUUGACAAUGAAACGUCUUAAAAGUGAGUGCUUAUAAAAGCAGUUUUUAUUCCAUGGAAUUUUGAGUUGUCCCAUUAGAUUGGUUGGAGAGUACCUACAUAGCUUUUUUUAAAACCUUUAUGUAAAAAAUCAAAUGACAGAAGUAUUCCUGUUCCCAUCAUUUAAUUCUUAAUUGCCCAGCCUGACUGGAGAGAACAAUGACAAAAAAGAGGGAGGGGGGAAAAAACACUGACAAUUUGUACUCAUCUACAAGUAUUUUUCUGUACACAAGUGAAAUUUUAUUGCACCUUUAUACAACUGCCAUACACCAUUUUAAACAUAAUGGCAAGCUGUGCUUUGUCAGGGGCAGUUACAGUAAUGCCUGUGUAAACUCUAAUAACCAUCUUCUGAAUGCUUUCAAUACAGCUUCAUCUCACUAAUUGUAAAAUUUGUACAAUCAGAGGCUUAUUAAAUGCUUUUUUUAAAAAAAGUGGAUGUACUGAGUACUGAUUCUAAUGUGUUGCUAUUGAAUUGUAGAUUGGCUUUGGUUGGAGGAGACUUUGAAGAUCAUAUAGUUCCACCCCCCCACCAUGGGCAGUGUUGCCAACCACUGGAUUAGAUUACCUGGGGCACUCAUCCCAAUUACAGGGCUGGGGUAUCCACAACCUCCUUGGGCAACCUGUCUGAGUGCCUCACCACCAUAUGAGUAAAAAAUUUCUUCCUGACAUCUAACCUCAAUCUCCCCUCUUGUUGAAAACUAUUCUUCGUUUCCUUAUUGCUGUCAGACUGUAAGUGCUUGUAAGCUCCCUUGAAGUACUGGAAGGCUGCAAUGAGGUCUUCCUGGAGCCUUCUCCAAGCCCACUUUCCUCAGCCUAUCCUUACAGAGGUCCUACAGCCCUUUGAUCAUCUUUGUAACCCUCCUGGACUCAUUCCAGCACCUUUGUCUUGUGCCAGGGGCCCCAGUCUCAAACUGUAAUAGCCUUAAACUCUGCUUUAUGAGGGCAGAGUAGAGGAGGACAAGGCCCUACCUCAGUGUGCUGGCCACCCCUCUGUUGGGGAUGCACUGCGGGGUCAUGUCUGGCUUUUUGUCCAUGAGGACCCCCAAGUCCUUCACAGGGCUGCUCUCACUGAGUUCUCCCAGUCUGUACUAAUCUGGGAUUGUCUUGACCCAUGUACAACACCUUUCACUUGUCCUUGUUAAACCUCAUUAGGUUCUUGUGUUUGGACUUCCUGAGUGUGUCCCAGGUCCCUCUGAAUUGUCUCUCCCUCCUGUUGUGUCAACUACACUCAGCUUAGUGGAUUGGUAGAUUUCUGUUGUCUGUAUAGUGAUCCUUGUACAUCAAGCUUGUUGUAAAUUAUUUUUUCUUCACUUGAAUAACUCCUAAGAAGUAAUUGUUAGUUCUGUGUAUUUUAGUUUCAUUGAAGUUGAGACAUAAAUUGGUUGACAGACAGUGGUAAUGAGAGAAAUAUUGCUGCUGCAAGUUCAUCUGGUUUCAUUGAAAUAAACUGAGCCCUGUCACUCUUGUUUCUGUAAAGGUUGACUGGAGUGGGAUGGUUAGGCAGCUAAAAUGAGUUGUUUAAAAAAAAAAAAAAUCUGUGGAGAUGCCAUUUAAAAAUACCAGAGUAGGUAUUUUCUGCAGAUGUGUUCAGAUGAUGAGUCUAUUAAAAUAGCCUCAAGUAGAUGGGAAGCUUAUAUAGGCCUUGGUGUGGGUAGUCAUUUUUUUUAAGUGAUCUCCUGCUACAGAAUUUAGCUUGAGCCAUAUACGCUGUUAGCUUAGCACUAGUAAAUGUAAGCCUCUACAGAAUUUUAGCAGUUCUGUAAAAUGUUUUUUUCAUUUUUUUCUGCAGUAGGAGUAACUUUGCUUAUUGUUAUGGGGGGGUGGGGGGGGAAGUAAAGCAAGAAAUUCCAAGCAGUAUUAAUACUUGCCUGGAGUUUUUUUGUAAAGCACAGUUAGCCUUAUAAGGAAAACCUUGUCUGUUAAUCAUAGAAAACUUUUCUCUGUACACUCUUAGUAUCUGAAAGCAUGAUGGGAAAUUAUGCAGUUUUUUUUUCAGUAGUUUGUCACUGCAUGCUACCAGAAAAACAGCUCAGUUCUUUAGAUCUGACUUGUGUUGACUUUCAAAUAUCAAAGCUACUAGUGAGAUGACUGUCAGGAGCAGACAUUUUGAGUAAUAGCUAGUUCAUAGGCAGUAAAUGUGCAUAAGACUAGAUGGGGAUGUCCCCUGGUGUGGCACCGUGGGAGUUCUGCAUAGCUGACAUUAUCAUGAGAAACUGCAUGCAAUACUUGAUGUUCUGCUUUUCACCAAUUCUCAUCUUUAAAGUACAUCAUUUUUGGUAGUUUAUAAGUGGUGUCUUAAACUCUGUUUUAGUACCCACAGAUUUCUUGAAAUCUUUCUGUACCACCUUCCAUCAUUAGACUAGAACUUACUCCUGCAGUUUUCUCCUUUACUCAUGUUUAGUAGCUUCAGAGUAGUUGAUACAAGUAUCAUUCACCAUAUAAAAUACAGAACUGUCACUGGUACAGAAGAUAAAGCAGUUGAUCAUAAAGCAGUGGACUGUGUCAUGUCUUGACUCUUCAUCAUAGCAUUACACUUAAAAAAAAUGAUUUGGUCUCUGGCCAUUGGCUUUUUUGAUUAUUAUUACUUUAUUAUUUAGAAUGAGGUCUAGAUGAGAAGGUAUUGUGAAAAGAACUAAAUGUCUCUGAGAUUCUUCUCUAGUCUUCUCAGUACAUCCUUCUUGUGCCUUCCUGAUGACUCAUCUGUUGGCUCUUACUCUACUUCAGUGUAGCAAUGUUAGUAGGUACCUGUCUACCUUUACUUGGUUUGGUAAAUGUGGGGGGAGUGGAGACUGCCUGCUAAUGUCUAACACAGGUGACACUGGAAAUGAGUUUUCACCCUAACAUCAUCCUAUGCUGCAAGUUCUGAAGCUCUUCAUGUUUCAGAAGGAGAUUUUGAAAUGCAGAAGGCAGACAGAAAAUGGUGGGUAAAUGGGGUGAUUUAAUAAAAGGAUGCUAAUAGCUACACCAGUAGGAUUCCUGGAUGGAGGGGUCUCAAGUACUGGCCCAGCGAGUAGAGAUUGAGAGUUGUAAAAUUAAUCUUCUCUCAGUUAUUUUAAAUUCUCUAUUUUUCUGACAAAGUUUUGUUCUUACUGUUAAAGAAAACUUAAUAUUCUGUAGCUUACCCAAAUCAUUUAAUGAAAGAACAGUUGAAUUCAUGAAGUCUGUUUUCUUGGCGUUGGGUGUUGUUUUUUUUAUUACACUUAAAUUGUUAGGGUGAUAUGAUGUACAAGUAGUUUAGGUGUAACUAUCCAAAUACAGAGUGCUUGGUUAUAGCCACAUGCUGGCAUCUUCAGACUUGUUAGAGUCUGGUUCAGGUUCUAUAAAUGCAUAGCAAACUACUCAAAGCUUUAAAUGCAAACAGCUGUAAUUUGGGUAGUCCUAAUAUUUUUUUGUGAUACAAAAGAUCAACAUUUCUGGUCAUAAUCAACCAAAUCAACCAUCAGAAAUUGCCAGAUUUUUGGGACUAAACUGAAAUUGAGGGAAGGCAUUUGUCCAUGGUUGAUUAAAAAUUAGUUGUUCAUAAUGGUUCUUACAGAUAGCCACCAUCCUAAUGUGUGGUUUGUUUCACAAGCUUGGUAAAUGGCUCUAGAUAAGACUUAAUGGAAGAAAAGCUUGUUUUGGAGAUGAGUGUUCAGUGCAUAUCUGGGGUUCAGACUGGCUUUAAUUACUGCCAGGUGAGCUAGCUCAUUAGUGCUUGCUAGUACAUAGUCUGAACCAUAUUAUUAAUAAAGUAAUGUUUGAGAAUUCAAAAAGUAGCCUGUGAUAAACACUUCAGUGCUAGCCCUUGUAUACUGUAGUUACUUAGUCACUUUGAAAAGUGUGUGCUCUCAUGAGUUUGUAAAGAGAUUCAGACCUGCAGAUAAGUUGUGGUUGGUCAUGCUCUACUUAGGGUAAAAGUAUACAGACCUGUUUUCUGUGGGAAAAACUGUGAUGUUCAUAGCUGGCAUUCCAGGGAGGGGAGAUAAAAACAGGAAUGGAUAGGGAAAAGAAAGAAGAGCUAGAAAGCUCAGUUGAGGCAGAAGGCUACUAUAACUUGGGUUACUUAAUAAUUCUCUACGCUUUGUGUGCUGCUGUAACUGACAAGAAUGCUAGAACAACUGGCCUGCUGUGGGGCACGUCAGCAGUUUGGAUAGAUUCAGAUACCUACAUCUUUUAAGAUUGUUCAUGACAGUACUCUUCCCUGCUCUAGAAAAGAAAUCUAGCAUGUUCUAGCUUAGUACUCUUCUAGUCACUUCUCCAGUUUUUUUAAGUGUUGUCUCUGCAGGGCUAUAGAACAUGAACACUUAAAAAAUACUGAGUCACCAGUUAGUUGUGUUUUGAUACGUACAUCUCUUUCCUGCUCAUCUUCCCCCACCCCUCUGAAUAUGUAAAGGCCUGUACUUUUUGAGGAGAAAUCAACCUUUAUUCCCUAGUUGUAAAAUAAAUGGAAUAGAAAUUGAAAGGUUCUAAAUACUUGAAAAUAUCUACACAAUGAAUCCUAUCAAGCUCUUCAGGCUUAGGUUUUUUGUCUUUCUGGUUGUUUGUUUUUUUCUCUUGAAGAUUAAAUGCAUCUUGAAGAGAGGCAUUUUUUGUUUCCAAGUGUCUCAUUCUCUAGUUAAUAUAGGAAUGGACACUGCUAGGAGGCUCAUCAGACUACCUCUAUUAGUGCACUAAAAACAUGAAAAUAAAAGGUUUAGUUAAAAAAAAAAUGACUUGGAAAAUGUGUGGAAUAAAAGAUAUUCAAAUUGCUAAGAGUAGCAGUGUCUUAAGAUUGUUCUGCUUGUCAGUGGAUUACCAGUCUCUAGAUAAAAAGCUGUUGUCUAGCAAAAGCUUUUGAAAACACAAAAACAGUGACUGAUACCUAAAUUGCGUUACUGGAAAUUGUAGGUGAGAUGGAGCUGUGUAGUUGGUGUUAGUUUAAAUAAUUCCUUUUACUACAUAGGAUAAUAAGCAAGGUUCUGCUCCCAGUUUUGCAGUGUGUUUUUGUGUGCAUCAGAAUUAUCAGAUAAAGUAUGUAAGCAAGUCAUGAAUAUGCAUACAUGUCUCUUCUGCAAUUCAUGAAAUCUCUUCAAAGUUGUUAAAAUUACGUUCUCAAGAUACGUGGCAAGAAGAUCUCUCUUAGUACUUUGUGCCCCCUUUCAACUAUCGCAUAACAACGCUGGAAGUUCCUGUUGCAGUAUGAUAUCGCUCAGGAUGCUGAAGUUCCUUUUGCACAAGUUUUGCACUCCGAACUACUCAGUUCAUAAGGUGAUUCCAGUCUGAAAGUUGUUAGCAUUCUUCUGUAUGUCACAAAGUGUGUGCUCCUUGAAUCUGUCAGUUCCUUGCAGUAGAAAUACAGCCCUGCUCUUGCAGUAAUGGUCUGUGAGUGUUUCUGAAAGUGUUGGAUGGGAUUUCUGUGCAGGUGAGUAUGCUGUAAGAACUGACUAGGUCUUAGCUCAAAUAAGCUUGCUGACAUACUUGUAAGAAUAAAUGUAGAGAGAAUUUCAAGAGUUGUCAUGAGCAGCAAACAUACUAGAGGUCUUUGGAGUGUUUUGAACAGUCAGCCUCUUGAGCUUGGAAAUGCUCCUAAGAAAUGGACUGGAGAUUCUGAGAGGAAAAAAAAAAGAUUGGUUCUAGUCUUCUUGGUCUGUAUGCUUUAAUAUCUGGAUGCCUGGGUAAGUAAAGUAGUCCUUUCCUUUUCUUCCUGUUUGCAUAUCCAUUUACAGAAAACAGGUAUCCCAGGUGAAAUCAAAUGGUAAAACUGAAUACAUCCUGAUGACCAGCAUUUAAGAGGCUGCUUCAUCAGGAUAGUGAAUGCAGGUUUUGCUCCGUGAGAAUUCAUGAGCAAUCUAAAAUACAGGUUGUCUGCACAGAUCAGUGAAAACACUUUGGCUGCCCAGGCCUGAGUCAGCUCCUGUUUGAGGCUGUUUUCAAUUAGGAUGUUUCAUUUUACCUUUAAUUUCCUAGCAACUCGUGUCUAAGGAUUGUGCCAAUGACUUUGACAACAGAUGCUCACUUCUUGUAUCUACUGCUCAAGUUAUUUCUGUCUUUUUUUUAAGAUCUGAUUAUUUAAAUUAAGCCGGUAAUAAAGUGCCCAGUCAGUAGAAAAAAAAAAGUUAUAUGUGGACUCAUAGAGGUACUGUCCUUGUGGUUUAGAAGAGGAAAAUAGAUUUAUUCAUAUCACAUUUGUGUGAAUAAACUAUAUCCAAAUAUGAGAGAAGGUUGAGAUGGAUAGAAGAAAAAACUUAGUGGUAGAGUAGGGGAGAGAAUGAAAGGGAAGAAAGAUAAUUAUUGAAAUGGAAGCUACAGGUAGGUGAUGUUAAGACUAAGCUUUCUUCACUGAAGUGUUGGACAGUUUGGAUUGAUAACAGUGUUUUUCCUCCUCUGGAUCUCCAUAAUGCUGCAGAAAUUGUAUGUAUCGCAAGCCUAGUUUUGUAAACACUGAACUCAGGUUUUUUUCUUUGUUCUAUGAUUUUAGUGCAGGGAAACAGGAAGGGUGGAAAAAAAGCCUUCAGAGCUUUCUUUGCUGAAUUGGUGGACUAUUGUUAAUUCUUAACAUUAUACCUUUGCAUUAAGUACUGAAUGUGUGGAAAAGUGUUUAGGCUUCUCAAAGGUAUCUAGUCUUGCUCUGAUCACAUACUAUAUACAGAGGCUUUGGGGGCUUGUUUUUCUUUAAAGAGAAUAAAAACAUAAAAUGUUACAUAUUGAAUUAAAAUAGUUUUUCCUUUUGAUUCUCUUAAACACUGUAAGUCCCUACAGGUCAAUAAUUCAAAUUACUUCCCUAAUUCACGUAAGUCAGUAACAAUAACUUUUUGUUAUGGAAGUUGAAAAUAAUGGUUAAAGAAGGUUAAAGAAUGCUCAGAGCCUUGGAGAACGAAGUCUCUCCUGGAUUCCAACUGAAGAUGACUAUUCUGUACUGAAACAACUUUGUGAGUCUUACAACCUUUUCCUGGCAGCGUAGCCCACUGUAACCCAUAUACUGAUUAGAUGCUUCUCUGGGUUGCUUCAGUGUAGUACUUGUCAACAUACCUGGACACAAACUGGAAUCUGAGGUAUACCCUUCAUCUACCAGCAUAAUUCCCUCCCCAGCUCAAGCAACAUCUGUGGCCUUGAUGGAUGUACUUCAUGCUCUGAUGUGGGAAUGGUUACAUGAGGAAAUAGUCUGUAGAAGCUAUGAACAAAAAUGUAUGUACCAAGGCAAUCAAUACUGACAUUUGGGUAAACGAUGGAUCUCGAAGCUUCAUGGAGUUAUGUUUAAAAGUAAUCACUCCCAUUAAUGUACAGAGGUUGCUCCAAUAGUAAUGCCUUUUAUUUCUGUGGAAAGAACAGAUACAAAGAACAUAAUAGUGCAUUUGAUAGAGCAAACUUUCAGUUGCAAAACGCUAUUUUUCAACAUAGUCACCACUGCUAGCUAUGUGUUUUUGCCAGUGAGGAACAAGAGCCUGUGUGCCGUGCUCUUAAAAAAUCUGCACCACUGGAGGUAAAUUACUGUUUCACAGCUGCUGUGACAGUGUCCUUGCUGAAACAUACCACCCACCAUCUGACUGGUCUCCAUUAAUGCUUGACAAGUGUUGGUAAACGUCACUAGGUGCUGAUUUUUCCACAUGGAGGAGUUCUGUUCCACAUGUUUGUUACAGACUUCCUUUCUGCUGCCAUCUGUCACAUGGCAACAACAUGCAAUGAACGUUGUUGGGAAGAUUCAACCUCUGCUCCCAUACCACCAGCAUCUGCCUCUGGUGUUGUGGGCCAGUGUAAUAGAAUAAGAGGCAUUACUUCUGGAGCAGCCCUCAUAUUUUUUAAAUUAGGAGGAAAGAAGCUAUUCUUAAGAGAAAACAGUCUUUGUAGUUCUACUUGAUGAGUGCUUCUCUAGUACUGAAGAAUUCAAAGUUUGGAACAUAUGUUGAUUUGUAGAUUUGUUCCUCUUUGGAUAAGGAAGCUGUAGCACAUUGGGAAUUACUUUUAAAAAUCUGCAGAUUAAUAGGAUGUUAUGUUUUACCAUAUGUCCUUCUAGAAGAAGCUGGGGAGCCAACAGGAUGUUUGAUUAUCAUGAAUGACAUAUACAUGCUAAAAGGAGUAGACCAUGGAAGUUGGAUGAAAUUAAGCUGAGAAUUAAAAUAACCAACUGUUCUUCGUGUGGUGGUAUUGGCUUCCAGAAGUGGCAACAGUGAGAAACUUGUAUAUGGCUGAGAAUAGGAUGGCUAGAAAAAUGCUUUCCUGUGUAGUAUCUGCUACAAAUAUCAGGAAAUGGAGGAAAAUCAGAAAAUCAGGAAAGAAUCACUUGCUAAACGGAGUGUAUGGGAACUGUUGAGUCAUGGCCUGAACCACUGAUUGAGCACCUAGGGAAAAGACCUCGUCUGCAAGAACUUUUAGGUUAAGUUCAUGUCAUUAGAGAAAAUGUCAUUGGAGCAUUGGAACAUUCCUCCCUGAGUUUUCAUAUUCCGGGAAAAAUAAAGUGUAGAAUUAUUUUGUUGGGAAACUAGUUCAUGUAUUUUAACUGAAAUAUAAAUAUUAUGCCAUCCUAAACUAUUGUAUGUACUACAUAUUCUAAUUUUCCUUUGUCUUGUUUCUCAUUUGGAUUAUAUUAUUGUGUUCCCUUCUUUAAACUUCGGUAUCUUCUCAUGGGAACAGGACUGCAGGACAAUCAUGAGGACUGCAAACUUCAGAUAGGGUUUAGCUCUCACAGCUAAACUGGGGUAGAUAACAACUUGAAAAGAUGUAGGCCUGUUGUUAGAUUUGGCCUGGUUUGGCCUAUUACUUGACAAGGGGGUGAAGGGACCCAUGGACCCCCACCCUGGGAAAGGGAGGGGAAGGGAAAAGGUAGGAAAAUGGGCCUGGAUGAAUGAUAAUGGCAGCAAUGGCCUAAGGAAAAACUUGAUUUAUUAAAUACAGUAAUGGAAUGUGAGAUAACGCAAUGUAGUACAGUAUGAUUGGAAUUGAAGUUAAUAAAUCAAAUGAAAUGAGAGUUUCUGAAACCAAAGUCCAUACUGUAGGCAAAACUGCCAAGGAGCAAAGAGAAAGGUCUCAUGAGUCCCAGUCAGUUUUCUCUUACCCUCCAAAUGAAAAUGGAAAAAUGAAGGCUUCUGGGAGUUGUAGUUCAGCUCAGUAUUCUCUUCUGAGACGAGGAGACUGGAAAUACCAACAGUGCACAGAAUUGCAACAUCAACUCUUUAACUCCCAGUGCGCUACAUGAUGUUGUAGUGGAAUACUGAUCCACUGAUGUGAAAAACCAUCAAACCAUGGCACCAGUGAAAUCAUGAAUGCAGUGACCUAGGUCUAUGUCAGUGCAGUCUGUAGCAUUUAUUUUUCUAACUUUGUAUGAUUAAAUAUUAUGCACUGAUGAAAUUCUGUUGGGGCAAAGGUUGGGGUUGUUGCAGUGGGGGACAUCAGUUGCCACAUGCAAAUGAAAUUCCUUAGGAAGACCUGUUUUUUAAUUUCUUCUGUCUCCUGGAGGAGACAAAAAACAUAGAAACAAAAAUAUAGAAACAGCCCUGCUGAGCAGGAUUUGUUUAUACAUCACCCAAAAAUGGAGACAUUAUAUCUUAGUAAUAUUUCAUCAGACAAUAUACUCUAGCAAAAUGACACCAAGGAAAAUGUACCAUUCAACACAUGCUCACUUUUUUUUUUUGCUUUUAGCAUUAAGAUUUAUAUAUAUUUUGUAUAGAUACAUAUUUUGAAGUCAUCCAGGAAUUGCACUGGCAGAGAAGGCUGGAAUACUUUUACAGGAGUACUAUUUACAGGAAUCGUGGAGACCUUCUAAGGUCUUUCCAGGUUUUGUUUGUGUUUUUUUUUUUGUCCUUGCUAUUUCUAAGAAGCACACAUAAAUUCUGCUGAAACUUGAGCUUAAGCUUACAUGCCUGCAUUGUCUUUACAGUGCUCUGAAACACAAAGUGAUUAACAGUAGGCCAAACUCUCGAAGUGUUUACAUGCUGUAAUAUCUAAUUCCUGUUUGUACAAUGGCUUUGUAAGAGCCAAAGUAGAUAUUUGCUCACAUGUAAUAAAUAGCUUCCAUGAAAUGUAUGUUAAUGCUAUUGGCAAGCUAGGAAAUAAAUGCAGUUUUCGGAGAUGGUCUCUCAGGGUAUGCCUUGAGCUAGUCAGCUUACUAGCUGGGCGCAAUUCCAGCUCAUAAAAGACUUUGUUCCUAUGUUAGAAGCAAAUACAGUUUUUUUGUGUGGCAGUAAAUUGUGGUGUAAGAGUUGGUGGUACCUACGUAUCUCUGUAGGUAUGAUGUAUUUAUUUAAUAAGGAGGACCAAGGCCUAUCUCUAUACAUUAGUUUCAUUUAUUCACUAUGAAGUAGGGUAGUGUACUAGAAGUACAACCCAGGAAGCAGUUCACGGGCAGCAGAAUCAUGAAACCUAGUUGUACUGCAGAUGGUUUUGUUAUCCAAAGUAAUCCAACUUCCACUUGAGGCUUUUUAUGUAACUGAGGUGUUUCUGAUAUCCCAUACCUGUAACACCAAGGAAGUACCCGUUAACAAGUUAUUAGAGGCAGAUGGACAUUAACAUAAUUACACAGUGUGAUUUUUAUGAAGCAUAAGGUUGGAAAUUGAUUUCUAGUGUUGUGAAUUUCAUUACCAAGUUCAUAAACGAUCUGUGUAGUGGUGCAAAUUGCUUAAUUUAUAAGGAGAGCACGUGAGGUAGUUAGGGAGGCUCACAGACUUUCAGUAGAAAAUUAGAGCUCUAUUUUGUUUAUAGUGUAGAAUGAGGCCUGUUCUAGCAGGUUAAGACAAAAUACUUCAUCAUCAGUAGGAGAAGACUGGAAUCCAGUUUUGACGUCUAGUACCUCAACUUAGUGAAGUUCUGCUCCCUCUCAGCCCAGUUGCUCCAGCUGUUACAGUACAUGUUGGGAUAACCUCAUAAAGACUUUGUGAAGCCCUGUCACUUUGCAAAUGCACUAAUAUCCUGCAUGUUCCCUCAGGAGAGAUGUGGAAAGUUUGAAUUACUCAAACAAAUGCUCAUCUUGAAUGUGUUAGUGGUAUUAAAAUAAAUCAGGAUGUUUGCACCUGUUUUCUUUGAUACUUCCCUGCUUGUGACCAAAUUAUUGCACUUUGGGCUGAACUUGAGAUUUAGUAGGUUCACUUCUAUGGAUUCAGG
ensembl:lncRNA